UACGGGGGGGGGCAAGCGUUGUUCGGAAUUACUGGGCGUAAAGGGCUCGUAGGUGGCCAACUAAGUCAGACGUGAAAUCCCUCAGCUUAACUGGGGAACUGCGUCUGAUACUGGAUGGCUUGAGUUUGGGAGAGGGAUGCGGAAUUCCAGGUGUAGCGGUGAAAUGCGUAGAUAUCUGGAGGAACACCGGUGGCGAAGGCGGCAUCCUGGACCAAUACUGACACUGAGGAGCGAAAGCCAGGGGAGCAAACAGG
rnacentral:rRNA from 1 species